CCCAACCAAAACAAUAAUAAUACCAAAUCCGUUUUGUAAAGAAGCCUCCCCGAGUGGCAGGAAGAGGAUGCCGCACACCACAAAGGAAACAAAGCACCCCGCUUUCCUCAUAGCGCCAGCCGCCGGAUUGGAUGUCUGCAUGAAAACAGUACACAGGGACUUGUGAUGACCCCAUGCAAAACUCACGACACUAAACCAGGAGUCACCGCAGUUGAUUCAAAUGAAUCGUUCAAACCAUUUAAAUGAGUGCUUUCCAAUAACAAACACACAUUACUAACAGUCCCUUGCGGUUUGGAACACUUUGUAGUUCAUCCGAAAUCAUUUCAAUAGGGUUGCCCAGUUUGAAUCGCUCAAGCUUUGCAAUUUUGUUUAAGUUCGAAACUGUAGCAGUGUGUUCAGCAUUUUGACAGCACGGUAAUUUAUUUUAUAAAAAAGACAUUUAGAGAUUACUUGUUAAAUCAUUUUCAUUAUGUGUUUAUAAUUUAUGUUCUGUUUAACUUCAAGAACCAUGGCUAGUUUUUUUGCCCAUAAUACCUCUGAAAAAAUUGCACAAACAAUUAGGCUGGUGAAAUGUUUAAUAUAUGCUGGUUUUGUUAAUAGACUAUUCAUGCAAGUAACACUGAAAUCCACAUUUAAAUAACGCCAGAAGCUUAUUCAACGAAGCCCUAUUACAGUAGAUUCUUGUUAAUUGCAUAGCCCGGGUGCCUACUGUAACAGUUGUAUGCAAUUAACCAGGGUGUGCAAGUACCAGUAAAAAUGUAAUACAUUUAAUUUUAUACCUGAUGAUUUUUUUUUUAAGUUAACAGGAAUAUGCAUUUAUCAUGUAUGCAAUUGAUUGGAAUACACUGUACUUUUAUCAUUCUUAAUCCUCUAAAAUUAACCUACAGUAAUAUCAUAUAGGUACACCAGAUACACUGUAAAAAAUUUAAAUAAAUCUGUAAAUGUUG